UUACCGCUCAUCAUAUCUCAAAAGUAUUUGACCCUUUCCGGACAAAAUUGUAGUCGCUUCUAGGAACCAUCCAUACCCAAUAGUCAAAGGAGUAAAAUUUGAUUUGUAUUUGCAAUUUUGAAUCAAACCCAGUUGUCAUUCAGUGUGUUAUGAUCAAAUGUGUAAUGGGUUAGAGCUGGAAUUAAUGGAAAUGAUAGAAAGAUUGGCGCUUUAUAAUAAAAAUUAGGGGAAUUGCCAAAUUAGUGCUCAGCAAUUGCAGGUCAUAAACCAUUAUUGUCAAUGGAUUUGUGUUGUGUUCACACACUUGGCUCACACAUUCUUUGAAAAGCCAACAAGAAGAAGACUUUACUAUUUCUUCUUCCCUCUCUCUUCUUCUUAUAUGAAUCUCUCUUCCUCUCUACCUAACUCAGAAAAUUUUGCUCUUUUUCUUAUACCUUGCCUCCCUAUUCACUCAACCAAAUGAAUGAAUCCAACACCACCAGGAAGAGGCAAAGGAAAGAUAGGCAAGAAAGCGAUGGGGAGGACACCAAUUUUUUUGAAGAAGGCAACAAUACUAGCAUUAGCAACAAGAAGAGAAAAGAGUUGAAGGGUAUAAUCACAUCAUGGAUGUUGCUGGAAGAGCAAGAAAAGUGCGAUCAAGAAGAGCGAAACAAGGCCUCAUGUGAGGACAAGCAAUUACUCGAAGCAAAUCAUAAGAAAAAGACUAGAACAAUGGUCGAAUAUUAUUCCAAUAUUCAAGAUUACUACACAGAAAUUGAAGAAACUGACCGAAUGAAGCGCAAAAAGUCCAGGGCAAUAGCUGGUGCGGUCGCUGUUUCUGCUGCCUCUAAUGGGCUCGCUAGUAAGGGAAUUGGUGAUGCAAAGCAAGGGAGUGGUGGUCAACAUAGACGAUUAUGGGUGAAAGACAGAGACAAAGAGUGGUGGGAUGAAUGCAAUCGGCCAGAUUAUCCUGAGGAGGAGUUCAAGCAAGCGUUUAGAAUGAGCAAGGGUACUUUUGACAUGAUAUGCGAUGAGCUACAUUCAUUUAUUGCCAAAGAGGAUACCACUUUGCGAAACGCCAUUCCUGUCAAGCAAAGAGUUGCAGUCUGUAUUUGGAGAUUAGCUACUGGUGAACCACUUAGACUCGUCUCUAAGCGGUUUGGUUUAGGUAUUUCUACUUGCCAUAAAUUGGUUCUUGAAGUAUGUUCUGCUAUUAGAAAUGUUUUAAUGCCCAAGUAUUUGCAAUGGCCUGAUGAGGAUAGAUUGAAGAAGGUAAAAAAGGACUUUGAAUCAAUUUCUGGGAUACCUAAUGUUGUUGGGUCCAUGUAUACUACUCAUAUUCCUAUUAUAGCUCCAAAGAUUAGUGUCGCAGCUUAUUUUAACAAGAGGCACACUGAGAGGAAUCAAAAGACAUCCUACUCCAUAACUGUUCAAGGUGUUGUUGACCCAAAAGGGGUCUUUGCUGAUGUGUGUAUUGGUUGGCCUGGUUCUAUGCCUGAUGAUCAGGUGUUGGAGAAGUCUGCUUUGUAUCAAAGGGCUAAUGGAGGUCUUCUAAAGGAUGUUUGGGUUGUUGGGAGUUCGGGGUACCCUUUAAUGGAUUGGGUUUUGGUCCCUUACACACAGCAGCAUUUGACAUGGACUCAGCAUGCUUUUAAUGAGAAGAUUGGGGAAAUUCAAAAGGUUGCUAAGGAUGCAUUUGCAAGAUUGAAAGGGAGGUGGAGUUGCUUGCAGAAAAGAACGGAGGUGAAACUACAGGACUUGCCAGUGGUUCUUGGAGCAUGCUGUGUGUUGCAUAAUAUCUGUGAAAGGCGUAAAGAGGAACUGGAUCCAAAGCUGAAGAUUGAGCUUGUUGAUGAUGAGAUGGUGCCUGAGGUUGCCUUGAGAUCAGUAAACUCAAUGAAGGCUAGGGAUGCUAUUGCUCAUAAUCUUUUGCACCACUGUCAUGCUGGCACUGGUUUUCUAUAAUUCAAAAAGUUUCAUUCCUCCUGCUAUUGGAAUUCUUUUGCCUGUUUUUUCUCUAUUUGUAUUGUAGAAUUUCACAUUUGUCAUUUAUCAUAUUUGUCAAAGGGGCUUUGUAAGCGAUGUGUGCCCCCCAAAACAAAUAGCUGAUGGUAGACUUGAUAGGUUUAAGUUAUACAUACAGGUCACGGUAACAGCAAGACACCUUACUCAAAUUAAAAAUAAAAAAUGGAUGAAGUUGACUUUGUAAUAUUAUUUUAACAUGACCUUAUUUUUAGUGCUGAUGUCAAAUCUUAAGAAAGUUUGUUCCAUGACUCUCACUUCUUGUUUUCUUGAAAGCUUUGGCUUAAAUAGUAAAGAUCUGCAGGAGUGUAAUUGGUGAUAUUAGACUGGCCUACAUGAAAGUUAUGUGGAACUCAAUAUGCAUUGUACCUUGUUAUAAGUUUGAUGCUAAUACUUUUUCCCUUUUAUUGUUAAUUUCUAAGCAAAUGUAUUCUUCAUUCUACCAGGAAUCUUUCUAUUUACAUGCUUGCAAAAGCUUCUAUCCUUAACUGUCAGUCACUGAAUGAUGAAGUUGCAUAAACGACUCACAAAAUUCCAGUCAGUCUUGUUUCUCAUUUCUUCUGAUUGCUACACUGAAUGAGAAUGUCAAACUGUGACACUGUUUCUUUUUCCGGAUAAUCAAAUAAG
rnacentral:misc_RNA from 1 species